rnacentral:rRNA from 1 species
CCUACGGGAGGCUGCAGUGAGGAAUAUUGGUCAAUGGGCGCGAGCCUGAACCAGCCAAGCCGCGUGAAGGAUGACUGCCCUACGGGUUGUAAACUUCUUUUGUAAAGGAAUAAAGUGAGGCACGUGUGCCUUUUUGUAUGUACUUUAUGAAUAAGGAUCGGCUAACUCCGUGCCAGCAGCCGCGGUAAUACGGAGGAUCCGAGCGUUAUCCGGAUUUAUUGGGUUUAAAGGGUGCGGAGAUGGGUUGUUAAGUCAGGUGUGAAAGGUCGCGGCUCAACCGUAAGAUUGCAAUUGAUACUGGCAGUCUUGAGUACAGGUGGGGUAGGCGGAAUGCGUGGUGUAGCGGUGAAAUGCUUAGAUAUCACGAAGAACGCCGAUUGCGAAGGCAGCUUACUAAACUGCCACUGACGUUGAGGCUCGAAAGUGUGGGUAUCAAACAGGAUUAGAUACCCGGGUAGUC